CUUGUUUCGGUAAUCCUCAUCAACUGUUGCCUCAAGUUCCCUGUCAAUCAACUAGUCGUUACCUUAGCAGGAUCUUCCAAUCUUCCAAUCUUCCACUAACAUAACGAGUCAGCAAGAACUACUUAUCUUUUGACCUCACAGUCCAGACUAGUUUGGGGUGAAGGUGUUCACGAAUGGACAAUACCCACCUUGAUGACUUUCUGG
rnacentral:lncRNA from 1 species